ACACAUGCAAGUCGAACGGCAGCACGGGGGGCAACCCCUGGUGGCGAGUGGCGAACGGGUGAGUAAUAUAUCGGAACGUGCCCUGUAGCGGGGGAUAACCUAUCGAAAGAUGGACUAAUACCGCAUACGCUCUACGGAGGAAAGCGGGGGCCGCAAGGCCUCGCACUAUAGGAGUGGCCGAUAUCGGAUUAGCUAGUUGGCGGGGUAAGAGCCCACCAAGGCGACGAUCCGUAGCCGGCCUGAGAGGGCGGACGGCCACACUGGGAC
rnacentral:misc_RNA from 1 species